rnacentral:lncRNA from 1 species
AUGUCAGGGCAGUGGCUGAGUCUGCUUGCCGGGGGUCAGGAAGGCUGUUCUUCCAGGAAGGGCUGCAGAGACCCUGGGAACAGGACUAGGCUGCUCACAAGUAUGAAGAGAAUGUCGGGAGAGGAAGUGGUGGCUGUGAGUCAGCAUGAGUCAUCUCGUUCCAAUGAGAAUGAAGACUGAGGUGUGCGCCUUUUUUUUCUCUCUCUCACUUUUUAAAUUUUUUUUAUUUUUUUGAGUCUCAAUCGUGUGGACAUCACUGGGAAUGGAGGGAAAUAACUGACUGAAUGGUCGUUGCUUUUAAGUUUCAAACCGACAUUCCAGGCGGGUUGUGUCUGAGCCAGCCUCGGGCUUUCAGACCUUCACAGCCUGGUCCUGAGAAGGUAGAGCUCUCAGCUUCUCCCUGGUCUGAGCAGCAGAUUGAAGUGCAAAGCCCAUUUUUUGGGAGAGGUUGGACCGGUUGUAUUCAUGAAUCAAGCCAUCCCUCUGUCUGUCUCUGAACCUGUUCUUUCACUUGUUUGGGGGAAUUAAGGAAUAACUGG